AAAGUCGUAACAAGGUCUCCGUUGGUGAACCAGCGGAGGGAUCAUUACAGAGUUGAAAGACUCCCAAACCACUGUGAACAUACCCGAAACCGUUGCCUCGGCGGGUGGCCCCAGGGCGGGGCCGCAGCCUCCCUAGCGGAGGUGCCCGCCGCAGGUUACAGAACUCUAUGAAUAUCUAAUGGCACUUCUGAGUAUACUCUUGAGCAAUUAAAACUUUCAACAACGGAUCUCUUGGUUCUG
rnacentral:misc_RNA from 1 species